rnacentral:rRNA from 1 species
UGCUUAAUGCGUUUGCUGCAGCACUAAAGGGCGGAAACCCUCUAACACUUAGCACUCAUCGUUUACGGCGUGGACUACCAGGGUAUCUAAUCCUGUUCGCUCCCCACGCUUUCGCGCCUCAGCGUCABUUACAGACCAGAGAGCCGCCUUCGCCACUGGUGUUCCUCCACAUCUCUACGCAUUUCACCGCUACACGUGGAAUUCCGCUCUCCUCUUCUGCACUCAAGUUCCCCAGUUUCCAAUGACCCUCCCCGGUUGAGCCGGGGGCUUUCACAUCAGACUUAAGGAACCGCCUGCGCGCGCUUUACGCCCAAUAAUUCCGGACAACGCUUGCCACCUACGUAUUACCGCGGCUGCUGGCACGUAGUUAGCCGUGGCUUUCUUGUCAGGUACCGUCAAGGUACCGGCAGUUACUCCGGUACUUGUUCUUCCCUGACAACAGAACUUUACGACCCGAAAGCCUUCAUCGUUCACGCGGCGUUGCUCCGUCAGACUUUCGUCCAUUGCGGAAGAUUCCCUACUGCUGCCUCCCGUAGAGUCUGGGCCGUGUCUCAGUCCAGUGUGGCCGAUCACCCUCUCAGGUCGGCUACGCAUCGUCGCCUUGGUGAGCAUUACUC